rnacentral:rRNA from 1 species
GAUGAACGCUGGCAGCGUGCCUAAUACAUGCAAGUCGAGCGAACAGAUGAGGAGCUUGCUCCUCUGACGUUAGCGGCGGACGGGUGAGUAACACGUGGAUAACCUACCUAUAAGACUGGGAUAACUUCGGGAAACCGGAGCUAAUACCGGAUAAUAUAUUGAACCGCAUGGUUCAAUAGUGAAAGGCGGUUUUGCUGUCACUUAUAGAUGGAUCCGCGCCGCAUUAGCUAGUUGGUAAGGUAACGGCUUACCAAGGCAACGAUGCGUAGCCGACCUGAGAGGGUGAUCGGCCACACUGGAACUGAGACACGGUCCAGACUCCUACGGGAGGCAGCAGUAGGGAAUCUUCCGCAAUGGGCGAAAGCCUGACGGAGCAACGCCGCGUGAGUGAUGAAGGUCUUCGGAUCGUAAAACUCUGUUAUUAGGGAAGAACAAAUGUGUAAGUAACUAUGCACGUCUUGACGGUACCUAAUCAGAAAGCCACGGCUAACUACGUG